rnacentral:lncRNA from 10 species
UGAGUUUCUGUAGGUUACAUUUAUAGAAAUAGAAUUGCUAGAUCAAAGAAUAUGAACAUUAAAAUUGUAAAACAUGAAUAAGGUGAUACACUGUCUUCCAGAAGAAUACCGCAUUCAUGUUUUACAAUUUUCUGGUGGAUCCAAUGCAGUCUGGGCCCUUCCUUUUAGGUUGCACUCCAGGACUUGCAGACGAACUCCAAGAUUGGGGCACUCCUGCCUUACUUUGUUUAUGUGGUCAGUGGGGUGAAAUCUGUAAGCCAUGACCUGGAGCAACUGCACCGGCUGCUGCAGGUGGCACGGAGCCUAUUUCGUAAUCCGCACCUGUGCUUGGGGCCCUAUGUCCGCUGUCUGGUGGGCAGUGUCCUCUACUGUGUCCUGGAGCCACUGGCUGCCUCCAUCAACCCCCUGAAUGACCACUGGACUCUGCGGGAUGGGGCUGCCCUCCUGCUCAGCCACAUCUUCUG